CUUGUUCUCCUCUGCUUCAGUUUAUUAACCUCUCUCACUGCUCUCUUCUCACUUCCCGAGCUUUGAAGACUCUUGCGGAUAUCUUUAGAACCACUCUUAAAGGACUUAGUAUUGGAGGAUGCCAAGGGAUGAAACGGUGUAAAGAGUUCACUAACAGCCUGUAUAAGUUCCAGAAAUUGAACUAUCUCUCGGUUGCAGGACUCGAUUGUGUUAAUGAUGGUGUUCUUAGAGCCUUCUUUAUGUUCAGUUGCUCUAAUCUCACUGAUCUAUCUCUCGCUAAUUGCCAGUAAGUUACUCUUUUGUUGAGGCCUCGAAAAGACUCAAAUCGUUACCAAUGCUGGAAACUAAUGUUUUUUGUUUUUGGUGUUCUCUAUGGUAAACUAGUGAGUUGACUGAUGACUGCAUUUGGCAUAUUGGGAGAUAUUGUAAGAAGUUAGAAGCUCUUGACAUCUCAGAAUUGAGGAAGUUGACUGAUAAGUCAUUGGAAUUUCUUACCGAGGGAUGCAAAUCUUUGAACUCAGUCAUAUUUGGAAAUAACAGAUUUAGUGACGAAGCUGUUGCUGCGUUUCUUGAAGUCUUGGGAGGUUCUUUUAACCAACUCUGCCUAAACAAAGUCGUAGAUGUUGGUCCAGAUACUGCCUUUUCGCUUGCCAAAGUUUGUAAGAGGUUGAAGUAUUUGGACCUCUCGUGGUGUCGAAAGCUCACAGAAGAGGACCUACGACGGAUUUUGAGUUGCUGCUCGUCACUUAAAUCACUCAAGCUAUUUGGAUGGACACAGGUACGAUAUUAGUUGAGAAACAUUUAGUUAAGCUCCCACUUGUGCUUUUUUUUGUUUAUUUAGUGGCGGUAUUGUCGUUGUAGGUGGAGAAUGCAUUUCUUG